AAGUCGUAACAAGGUUUCCGUAGGUGAACCUGCGGAAGGAUCAUUAACACGUAUCGCAACGUUAAAACCACCCCCCGUGAACCUUCAGCCUGCUCUUGUAACCCGCGUAGUUCGCAAUCUGAUAAAUCAUAGCCCGGAAAGUUGUAGUGAUUCAGAGACCUCUGGCUACGUGCGAACAUUGGAACAGUUACAAUCGAGCGGUAGUUCUAUAGGCAAUGUUUCCCCAAGCAGUCAGUGUCGGAAAGUGUCAUUGAUUGUGCGCUUCUACGAUUCCUGUAGACCGUACACUCGGGCAGGAGCUUACCCCACAGUUUAAUGUGAAGCUCAAUGUAAUACAUUGGGUAAAAAAACCGAACAACUGUUAACAAUGGAUAUCUUGGUUCUC
rnacentral:misc_RNA from 1 species